AUUGAACGCUGGCGACAGGCUUAACACAUGCAAGUCGAGCGAGAGGCGGACGGGGGAGUAAUGUCUGGAAAACUGCCUGACGUCGGUGGAUGACUGCUGGAAACGGUAGCUAAUAAUGCCUACCCUCAGAUGUGCGCAGAUGGGAUUAGCUAGUCUGUGGGGUAAUGGAUGACCUAGACGACGAUCCCUAGCUGGUAUGAUAGGAGGACAAGAUACACUGGACUGGAGACACGGUCCAGACUCAGACGUGAGGCAGCAGUGGAGAAUAUUGCAUAAUGGGCGCAAGCCUGAUGCUGCCCUGCCGAGUGUGUGAAGAAGGCCUUCGUGUUGUAAACCACUUCCAGCGAUGAGGCGUUACUCGAAGAAUAAGCAUCGGCUAACUCCGUGCCAGCAGCCGCGGUAAUAC
rnacentral:rRNA from 1 species